rnacentral:lncRNA from 1 species
GGAGGGUGAUGUACUAUUUUAUUGUUUAUAAAGAGUUAUUCUAUGACUUGAUCAUGAAAAACUUACUCUCCACCUUUCCUCAAUAGUUUGACAGGAUCAUCAAGAAAUGAAACCAUUUACACUUCAUUUCUGUGGUCACAGUGUCACUCCUAUCACGAUCAUAGCAGAGCCAGAGAAUGUAGGGAAACAUUAGAAAUCCUGCGCAGAUGGAAUAAAUACCAUUUUAGGAAUCAUUUAGUUCUUGUGAAAAAAUUCUUUCAUAUUCUUCCUUAUGGUCUACAAUUUACAGUACCCCAUGGGGCAGAGGAUCCAGACUGCAUGACGUUUCAAUGAAUAAAAAUGCAGCGAAAAACUGGAUAGUGUUUUCUAGUUCUAUCACCUAACAUCAGUGCCCAGGUGGUCUGCAGAACUCAAACUUUUAACAAAGCCCAGCUGGCCAUACUGUCCCAAGGUCCUCCAAGUUUCUAGAAGAAAUCACAUGCAGUUGCCUGAAUGUAAGUA